GCCAGCGUUCAGGUAAUAAAAAUUGAUUCUCUCAAAAUAAGCCUCGGUUUCUUUCCUUUUUCUUUUUUCGUUUUUCUUUCUAAAAACAUGUUUAAAAAUUGUACUCUCAGAAGCUUCUGGUUUGGUUCAGUGGGUCAUAAUCAUAAGCAUCACCAGCUUUGACAAAUCGCCCCUUCACGCGUCUUCUUACAUCAGCCCUUGCUUUGCGGGAGGCAUACCUCACUCUCUUCUCAAACAUGCGUGUCUUCUUCUUUUCCUUGUAUCGCAUUACAGCAUUACUUCGGUUAGAUGAUGGGCAUGAACUCUCCGGGCAUGGGGGACACCAUGGAGGUUCUCCCAUGAAAAGCAUUGAAAAAGCUCCACAAUCU
rnacentral:misc_RNA from 1 species